ACGGGUGAGUAACGCGUAGGUAACCUGCCUGGUAGCGGGGGAUAACUAUUGGAAACGAUAGCUAAUACCGCAUAAGAGUAGAUGUUGCAUGACAUUUGCUUAAAAGGUGCAAUUGCAUCACUACCAGAUGGACCUGCGUUGUAUUAGCUAGUUGGUGGGGUAACGGCUCACCAAGGCGACGAUACAUAGCCGACCUGAGAGGGUGAUCGGCCACACUGGGACUGAGACACGGCCCAGACUCCUACGGGAGGCAGCAGUAGGGAAUCUUCGGCAAUGGACGGAAGUCUGACCGAGCAACGCCGCGUGAGUGAAGAAGGUUUUCGGAUCGUAAAGCUCUGUUGUAAGAGAAGAACGAGUGUGAGAGUGGAAAGUUCACACUGUGACGGUAUCUUACCAGAAAGGGACGGCUAACUACGUGCCAGCAGCCGCGGUAAUACGUAGGUCCCGAGCGUUGUCCGGAUUUAUUGGGCGUAAAGCGAGCGCAGGCGGUUAGAUAAGUCUGAAGUUAAAGGCUGUGGCUUAACCAUAGUACGCUUUGGAAACUGUUUAACUUGAGUGCAAG
rnacentral:rRNA from 1 species